AGUCGAACGAAGCCUUCGGGCUUAGUGGCGGACGGGUGAGUAACGCGUGACCAUCUCCCUUCAGGAUGGGGACAACCGUUGGAAACGACGGCUACUCCCCAAUGUGCCGAGAGGUGAAAGGGUUUCCGCCUGAAGAAGAGCUCGCGUCCGAUUAGUUAGUUGGUGAGGUAAGAGCUCACCAAGGCAGCGAUCGGUAGCUGGUCUGAGAGGAUGAGCAGCCACACUGGGACUGAGACACGGCCCAGACUCCUACGGGAGGCAGCAGUGGGGAAUUUUCCGCAAUGGGCGAAAGCCUGACGGAGCAACGCCGCGUGUGGGAAGAAGGCUCUUGGGCUGUCAACCACUUUUCUCAGGGAAGAAGUUCUGACGGUACCUGAGGAAUCAGCCUCGGCUAACUCCGUGCCAGCAGCCGCGGUAAUACGGAGGAGGCAAGCGUUAUCCGGAAUUAUUGGGCGUAAAGCGUCCGCAGGGGGCGCAUCAAGUCUGCUGUUAAAGGCUGGAGCUUAACUCCGGUAGAGCAGUGGAAACUGGUGCGCUAGAGGGCGACAGGGGUAGAGGGAAUUCCCAGUGUAGCGGUGAAAUGCGUAGAGAUUGGGAAGAACACCGGUGGCGAAAGCGCUCUACUGGGUCGCACCUGACCCUCAGGGACGAAAGCUAAGGUAGCGAAAGGGAUUAGAUACCCCUGUAGUCUUAGCCGUNAACGAUGGAUACUAGGCGUGGCUUGUAUCGACCCAAGCCGUGCCGAAGCUAACGCGUUAAGUAUC
rnacentral:rRNA from 1 species